CUGGAGUAGACUAGGCAAGAGGAAGAGAGGUGGCAGAUGAGUCAGGGAGCAAAUGGGAAGCAUGUUGGAUUGAGGCUUUAUCAGGCAUUAUAACAUUUUUGGCUUUUAACUUCAAUAAAUUAGGAAGGCAUUCUGGGGUUCGACAGGGGGAACAACACAUUAUGACUUCAAAAGUAUUCUCUGGCUGCUUGAUUGGAGUGCAGUGGCACAAUCACGGCUCACCACAACCUCCCACUCCCAGGCUCAAGUGAUCCUCCCACCUCAGCCUCCCAAGUAGCUAGGACCACAGGUACACACCACCACACCCAGGAGGAUUUCCACGCCAGAGCAAUGCACCAGAAAGAGACUCUGGAUUGGAGAGAGGACAACUGUGCCUUUGGAAGUGGGAGAAAGGUUACGGUGAAAGAAGAGGUGGAGCUGAGAAUCAGCAUGACAUCUCAAACCACAGAACAGUUUUAGGAAAAAGUACAAAUAAAAGUUUAGGAUUUGAAAUCAAUUUCCCCAGAACAAUGCCCUUGAAAUGUUGCCAUGGAAUCCCAGGAUAGUCAUACCCUAUUUUGAAGCCGGCCGUCCUUACCCUACAUCUUUCCAAUCAGAUUAGGUGGCUUAACUCUUCCCAUUUAUAAUAGAGCUACAGGUAUUAAUCUUCCAAAAAUAACAUUUCACCAAGCCACUUUAGCAUUCAAUUAACUCCCAAUGCCUCUCCAGUGUGUAAGGUAUGAGCACAAAAAACCACGAAUCCAUCUGAAUGUGACCAGUGGCCCUUCCUAAUCUGCCUUCCCACCUUGACCUCAUUCCCGGGAAUCUAAAAGAAGCAGUCUUUGCUUCAGUCAUACUGGUCCCCUUCCCAUUUAAUCUGUUUAUUUUGCUCAACUGCAGAUCAUAUCUUUGCUCAUGUGGCUUUCUUAGGCUGGAAUGCUUCAUCUGCUAUCAUCACCCUAUUGUGAUAAUCUUCUUAGGUUCCUUCCCCCUGGAAAUUUCCCCUUCCCACUUGCGGACGCAACUAAUCUCUGCAUUCUCAUUAACUUACACAUGCAACAUGGCUAUAAAUAUCUGGACUACUUUUUUUAAAGGGAGAGGAAUUAAUGAAAAUCUAUUAAAAUUUUUCUUUCUCGUCAUUCCUUUUCAACAUUUUACUGGAAGUCUUAAGACAAAUAAAGGAACUAAAAGGUAUACAAAUUGGGAGGAAAGAGAUAAAACUGUCUUUGUUUACAGGUAACAGGAUUGCCUAUGUAGAAAAUCCAAAAGAAUCAACCAAACACUCCUAGAACUAAUAAUUGAUUAUAGCAAACUGUAGGAUACAAGGUUAAUAUACAAAAGCCAAUCACUUUCCUUUAAUGCCAGCAAUGACUAAGUGGAAUUUGAAAUUAAAAAUAUAAUAUCAUUGGCACCCCCAAAAUGAAAUACUUUGGUAUAGGUUUAGAAAAAUAUGUACAUAAUCUAUAUGAGGAAACUAUACAAUUCAGAUGAAAGAAUUCAAAGAACUAAAUAAAUGGAGAAAUGUUCCAUAUUUAUGGAUAGCAAGAUUCAAUACUGCCAAGAUGCCAGUUCUUCCCAACUUCAUUAGUAGAUUGAAUGCAAUCACAAUAAAAAUUCUAGCAAGUUAUUGUGGCGGCCUUGGAAAAAUAAUUAUAAGGUCUAUAUGGAGUGACAAAAGACUCAACACAAUAUUAAAGAACAAAGUUAGAGAUCUAACAUGACCUGACUUCAAGACUCAGUAAGCAAGGCAAGUGGGUUUUCAAGACAAGCCCCUCCAAAUAUUUUGCUCACCUGCUUUACUAACACCAGCAUUUGGUGGUGUGCUGGUGGGAAUGUGAAAUGGUAUGGCCACUUUGGGAAAAAAAUUGACAAUUUCUUACAAAACUAAAUAUACUCUUACCAUACUACCUAGCGAUUGCACUCUUUAAAUCCAAAACAGUUGUUUAAAACACAUCCACACAAAAACCUGCACACCGGUGUUUGUAGCAGCUUUAUUUAUAAUUGUCAAAACUUGGAAGCAACAAAGAUGUCCUUCAGAGAGUGAAUGGAAAGAUAAAAGGGCACAUCCAGACAAUGGAAUAUUAUUCAGCACUUAAAAUAAAUCACCUAUCAACCCAUGAAAAGAAAUGGAGAAAAUGUAAAUGCAUAUUGCUAAGUAAAAGAAGACAAUCUGUAAAGUCUGCAUAUUGUAUGAGUCCAACUAUGUGGCAUUCUGGAAAGAGCAAAACUAUGGAGACAGUAAAAAGAUCAAUGGUUUCCAGGGAUUGAGGGAGGGGAGAGGGAUGAAUAAGCAGAGCACAGGAUUUUUAGGGCAGUGAAACUAUUUGGUCUGAUACUACAAUGGUGGAUACAUGUCAUUAUACAUUUGUCAAAACCAUACACAACACCAAGAGUGAAACCUAAUGUAAACUGUGGACUUUGGGUGAUAAUAAUGUAUCAACAUAAGUUCAUCACUUUUAACAAAUGUACCACUCUGGUGGGAGAUGUUGACAAUAUGGGAGGAAAUGUCAAUUUGGGGGCAGGGUCUACAUGAGAAAUCUCUGUACCGUCCUCUGAAUUUUUCUAUGAACCUAAAAUUGUCUUUUUUUUUUUAAUUCAAGUCUUUUAAAAAAAUCAAUUGCAUUGCCC
rnacentral:lncRNA from 10 species